rnacentral:rRNA from 1 species
UACAGAGGGGGCAAGCGUUGUUCGGAAUUACUGGGCGUAAAGGGCGCGUAGGCGGCCGCCUAAGUCAGACGUGAAAUCCCUCGGCUCAACCGGGGAACUGCGUCUGAUACUGGGUGACUUGAAUCCGGGAGAGGGAUGCGGAAUUCCAGGUGUAGCGGUGAAAUGCGUAGAUAUCUGGAGGAACACCGGUGGCGAAGGCGGCAUCCUGGACCGGCAUUGACGCUGAGGCGCGAAAGCCAGGGGAGCAAACGGG